UACGGAGGGUGCGAGCGUUGUCCGGAAUCACUGGGCGUAAAGGGCGCGUAGGCGGCCUGAUAAGUAGGGGGGUGAAAUCCUGCGGCUUAACCGCAGGGCUGCCUUCUAAACUGUCAGGCUAGAGCACAGUAGAGGCAGGUGGAAUUCCCGGUGUAGCGGUGGAAUGCGUAGAGAUCGGGAAAGAACAUCAGUGGCGAAGGCG
rnacentral:rRNA from 1 species